GUUAGGCGUGCCGUUCCUAGCGCUGUGUUGUGCUGUGCUGUUGCGACUACUUCAUCCUUGACGCCGGCCGAAUGACGUCGCGGGCGCAACCCCAACGUCAACUAUUGCACCUACUUCGCUACUUUAAUCACUUAUCUGAUGGAGAGAUGACUGCUAAAUGGACUGUUGGUGCGGCUGGUUUGGUGUGGUUUGCAAGGAAAUCUGCUAUUGCUACUACCAGGUGGUUUUUAUACUGAUGUGAUAUCUACCGUGGGGAUGACAACACAUAGAUUGCAUGUGUGUGUGUGAGCUGCUAGGUAGGUUGCUCCCUCUCCAUGAGCAGGUUGCAAACUUGACUUUGUUUGCCUCAUUUGCAAGGCACGGCUCAACCUUGUACUUAUCCCCUGUUGGACUUUAUUUAAGAUACAACCAAGUGUAUAUCUCUUAUUGGUCUUCUGUGACUAAAUGGAUUCAACUGAUGAGCUUAAAUAUUGAUAGCUCAAGUAUUAA